UACGUAGGUGGCAAGCGUUGUCCGGAAUUAUUGGGCGUAAAGCGCGCGCAGGUGGUUUCUUAAGUCUGAUGUGAAAGCCCACGGCUCAACCGUGGAGGGUCAUUGGAAACUGGGAGACUUGAGUGCAGAAGAGGAUAGUGGAAUUCCAAGUGUAGCGGUGAAAUGCGUAGAGAUUUGGAGGAACACCAGUGGCGAAGGCGACUAUCUGGUCUGUAACUGACACUGAGGCGCGAAAGCGUGGGGAGCAAACAGG
rnacentral:rRNA from 2 species